AUCCUUUCUCCUCCCUUUGUCUUAAGUGGACACUUCUGAUUAAAAUACCCUGCUGCACCACACCUGUAGCACUUCCUAGCCUCCUUGCUGCCUCCCUACUGAGACUAUCCUCGUCCAAACUAUCCACCCUUCUUCUUCCCUUUGUUGGGCCACUCUGAUAUCGUAAGACCCUUCAAGAAGAUCUCUCUAUUCAUCAUCCAUUCCCACUGCUCGUUGGACC
rnacentral:lncRNA from 1 species